rnacentral:rRNA from 1 species
AUACAGAGGGUGCAAGCGUUAAUCGGAUUUACUGGGCGUAAAGCGCGCGUAGGUGGUUUGAUCAGUCGGAUGUGAAAGCCCAGGGCUCAACCUUGGAAUUGCAUUCGAUACUGUCAGACUAGAGUUUAGUAGAGGAAGGUGGAAUUCCAGGUGUAGCGGUGAAAUGCGUAGAUAUCUGGAGGAAUACCAGUGGCGAAGGCGGCCUUCUGGACUAAAACUGACACUGAGGUGCGAAAGCGUGGGGAGCAAACAGGAUUAGAAACCCGAGUAGUCC